rnacentral:rRNA from 1 species
AUUGAACGCUGGCGGCAGGCCUAACACAUGCAAGUCGAGCGGAUGGAGGGAGCUUGCUCCUGGAUUCAGCGGCGGACGGGUGAGUAAUGCCUAGGAAUCUGCCUGGUAGUGGGGGAUAACGUCCGGAAACGGGCGCUAAUACCGCCUACGUCCUGAGGGAGAAAGUGGGGGAUCUUCGGACCUCACGCUCUCAGAUGAGCCUAGGUCGGAUUAGCUAGUUGGUGGGGUAAAGGCCUACCAAGGCGACGAUCCGUAACUGGUCUGAGAGGAUGAUCAGUCACACUGGAACUGAGACACGGUCCAGACUCCUACGGGAGGCAGCAGUGGGGAAUAUUGGACAAAGGGCGAAAGCCUGAUCCAGCCAUGCCGCGUGUGUGAAGAAGGUCUUCGGAUUGUAAAGCACUUUAAGUUGGGAGGAAGGGCAGUAAGUUAAUACCUUGCUGUUUUGACGUUACCAACAGAAUAAGCACCGGCUAACUUCGUG